GACGAACGCUGGCGGCGUGCCUAAUACAUGCAAGUGGGACGCAAGGGAACACACUGUGCUUGCACACCGUGUUUUCUUGAGUCGCGAACGGGUGAGUAACGCGUAGGUAACCUGCCUAUUAGCGGGGGAUAACUAUUGGAAACGAUAGCUAAUACCGCAUAAUAUUAAUUAUUGCAUGAUAAUUGAUUGAAAGAUGCAAGCGCAUCACUAGUAGAUGGACCUGCGUUGUAUUAGCUAGUUGGUAAGGUAAGAGCUUACCAAGGCGACGAUACAUAGCCGACCUGAGAGGGUGAUCGGCCACACUGGGACUGAGACACGGCCCAGACUCCUACGGGAGGCAGUAGUAGGGAAUCUUCGGCAAUGGACGAAAGUCUGACCGAGCAACGCCGCGUGAGUGAAGAAGGUUUUCGGAUCGUAAAGCUCUGUUGUAAGUCAAGAACGUGUGUGAGAGUGGAAAGUUCACACAGUGACGGAGCUACCAGAAAGGAC
rnacentral:rRNA from 1 species